UAGGGUUAGGGGAAGGGUUAGCUAUAAGGGUUAAGGUUAGGGUUAGGGGAAGGGUUAGCUAUAAGGGUUAAGGAUAGGGUUAGGGGAAGGGUUAGCUAUAAGGGUUAAGGUUAGGGUUAGGGGAAGGGUUAGCUAUAAGGGUUAGGGUUAGGGGAAGGGUUAGCUAUAAGGGUUAAGGUUAGGGUUAGGGGAAGGGUUAGCUAUAAGGGUUAGGGGAAGGGUUAGCUAUAAGGGUUAAGGUUAGGGUUAGGGGAAGGGUUAGCUAUAAGGGUUAAGGUUAGGGUUAGGGGAAGGGUUAGCUAUAAGGGUUAAGGUUAGGGUUAGGGGAAUGGUUAGCUAUAAGGGUUAAGGUUAGGGGAAGGGUUAGCUAUAAGGGUGAAGGUUAGGGUUAAGGUUAGGGGAAGGGUUAGGGUUAGGGGAAGGUUGGCUAACAUGCUAAGUAAUAAAACAUGUGUAAGUAAGAAAUAAAAUGCUAAAGUUGUCAAUGAUGAGAUUUGAACUCUCAACCUUUGGGUUACUAGACGUUCACAUUAUACGUCCACCCAUCGACCCCGACCAAC